rnacentral:lncRNA from 1 species
GCCGUUAGGCACUUUAGGCACGUGCCUACACAUAAUUUUUUCACAAAUAUUUUUUUUCAUUAAAAAAAUAUUAAACAACGUUAUCUGUAGAUGAAAGCCAGUGAAGUUGUUAAGAAACUCUUUAAUCAUCGAAUGACAUGUGACGUGUACACUAGUGAAUGGAAUAUUCCAAUAUAGAAUUGAAUGUUUUUACGAUUUUACCUUAUAUAGAAACUAUAAACUAGAACUUUGGUUCAGAUCAUUUCACUUCUAUCAACAAAAACCUGAAUGAACCUCAACUUAGACACAUGAGUUUUUUAAUUAGUUGCUGUUAGUUUUCAACUAGCUUCCCACUAUGUCUUCACCCGACUUGCCAAUGUUGGUCGUCCGUUUUGGCUGUGCAGGAUGUAUAAAUACGCAGUCACGUCUGGUCAAAAUGGGGACAUUAAAUCCGAUGGUUGUAGAGAGAAUGUAACUCUUUGAGGAGUUCGUAGUUGGUCUACUGAAAGGCAAAAUUUCGGUUCCUAUCCAAUAAUCCCUCAUUUUCCAAUGCAUCGCAUUUUUUUAUUUCCAGACCUUCGUCCUGGACGACACCUAUUACAGGUCCUAGCUCCAAGUUGUUUUUUUUUGUCAUGAACUUGCAUAGAUAUUUGACACUGGAUGUUUAAAAAUCAAUCAAUUAACUGGCUUCCAGUAAUUUUGAAUGAGUACUCGCAGAUCUGCGUGUAAUGACCAGCCCACAAUGAUCGUCAAUAUGUACUAUUAAUUAAGUUAAACGUAUAUAUCAAUCAGAACGGAAUUAGAUAUGAUAAUACCAAACAGGGUGUACUGCUUAUAAUUAAUUAAAGGGAUAGUCCAUAUGCUGAUCUACGCUGGGCAAUGCAUAUUGUAAUUUUUUUUUUAUAUAUAUUUCGAAUUGUAUUGCGUUAUUUAAUUCCCCAGUAUGAUGUUAUGGUACAUAAUUCAUAAUUCUUCGAACUUUUCAUCUUGUAUAUUAUAAUUAUCAUGAUUAAAUAACUAGUAAAUUUGAUAUUUUUGUACAUAAAAGUUUGCAGCUAAAACGCUGAAAACCGUUUUCCGUUGGGGGCUCCGCCCCUCUAAACCCCCUACCAGGUCUCUGCCCUCGACCUGAUAGGGGCCUUGAGCGGCCCCUAGACCCCCUGACGAUUGGUGCCUACAGUUGACUGAAUACCUAGCUACGCCCCUG